rnacentral:rRNA from 1 species
ACUGUAGCAAUACAGUUGAUGGCGACCGGCAAACGGGUGCGGAACACGUACACAACCUUCCUUUAAGUGGGGGAUAGCCCAGGGAAACUUGGAUUAAUACCCCGUAAUACUAUGAAGUGGCAUCACUUUAUAUUUAUAGCUCCGGCGCUUAAUGAUGGGUGUGCGGCUGAUUAGGUAGUUGGCGGGGUAACGGCCCACCAAGCCUGCGAUCAGUAACUGGUGUGAGAGCACGACCAGUCACACGGGCACUGAGACACGGGCCCGACUCCUACGGGAGGCAGCAGUAAGGAAUAUUGGUCAAUGGACGCAAGUCUGAACCAGCCAUGCCGCGUGGAGGAUGAAGGUCCUCUGGAUUGUAAACUUCUUUUAUUUGGGAAGAAACCCAUAGUUUCUACUGUGGUUGACGGUACCAGAUGAAUAAGCACCGGCUAACUCCGUGCCAGCAGCCGCGGUAAUACGGAGGGUGCAAGCGUUAUCCGGAUUCACUGGGUUUAAAGGGUGCGUAGGUGGGUUGGUAAGUCAGUGGUGAAAUCUCCGAGCUUAACGUGGAAACUGCCAUUGAUACUAUCAGUCUUGAAUACCGUGGAGGUCAGCGGAAUAUGUCAUGUAGCGGUGAAAUGCUUAGAUAUGACAUAGAACACCAAUUGCGAAGGCAGCUGACUACGCGAAUAUUGACACUGAUGCACGAAAGCGUGGGGAUCAAACAGGAUUAGAUACCCUGGUAGUCCACGCCCUAAACGAUGGAUACUCGACAUACGCGAUACACUGUGUGUGUCUGAGCGAAAGCAUUAAGUAUCCCACCUGGGAAGUACGAUCGCAAGAUUGAAACUCAAAGGAAUUGGC